AGCGCGACGCGCUUCGCGCGGUUAAGCGCGUCUGCCAUGUGGGUGUUGCCUCGUCUCGGUGAAGUUUCUCUCCGCGCUGUUUACUAACUCUGACGAUUCUCUGACAUUGUCGUAUGCGCAUCAUGCAACGCCACGUUAAUUACAUUGCGUUCACGGUUACCAUUGUGUCCACCGAACAUGCAUGUCCAAUGAAAAUGCCGAUGUGACAAUCUUUGCUGAUUAGCCGCACCUCUCUCGUCAGUGUAAUGGAUAUAUUUCCUGUACAGUGUCAAAUUUCUUCAACCACAUAUCCUGAAAACUUUUGAAACGGACAGAGUGUCAACAGGAUUACACGUUGAACGAACAAGUCAGCUCGGUUUCAAACCGGGUCGCUUUGAAAGAGGAACAUGUGGAUUUAUUAAAUGCUGAACGAUGCGCAGUACAUCAAAGAUCCGAAUGAGAGUUGCUGGUUGGUUGCACCUACAGGAGCCACGUCGCAUCUCCGAGGGCAGCUGCCUCGCCUCCUUGCCUACACGUAACUCUUAUACAAGUCGAUGGAACGACGGAUAAGAAUAUCGAUUGAAUUCGAGUAAAGAUAAAACAACAUCCAUUUCGCAUAUAUAUGCGAACAACAACACAAUUAUUGCAUGAAAAAUUGUUGCACAAUGUAGCAUAGAUGAAGAGCGAGUGGGCAGUAGAAAAGGUAGGUGUUGGUUGGUUAUAUACUUUAAGCUGUGAAGCUGUUAAUGACGCCUACGAUGUUUCUUUUCGUCUACGACGAAAGCAGCUUUAAGCCACGACUUUUAUCGAUUCGAAAGAGACCGUGACGUGAAAAUAUUGUCAUGUUUUUCUUAUUAUCUUGAAGCAAAUUUUUAAUGCAUCGAAAACUUAUUUUGAAAAAUAUCUGAUUUAUGUUAAACUUAUUUGUAUAUUUUUUAUUUAAUAUUACUGCCGCAAGUAUUAUGCAUUGAUAAAUGAUGAGAGAUCUGUCUUUGCACCUUUGAAAUUCGCGAUCUUCUCUUCAACAAUUUGUCGAAGCAUCAGUCAAAUGCUUCGACAGACAAGAAGUCACUGUUUGAAGAGAUUCCUCGCAAACAGAGAGAGAGAGUGAUCACUCUUGCUUGAUUAAUGUUUGAUGAAAGUUCUUAGCAACAAAAAAUCAUAACUGAAAUAUUAUAUUUAUUGGCACUUUACUGUUUUCUUGAAAUAGUUAUUUUCUUUAAAUUAUUUCUACAUAAAACGACGCGGUCGCGUUGGUGGUGCGGAAGCUGCACCUUAAAUAACGUAGCUCAGAAUCACCUUCAAUGAUUUUUAACACAAAAUGUUGCGCCUAUUCUGUGCAUAGAAGAGAGAGUUGUCUUUAAAAUUAAAAAUUUUAAUCUAUUGAAAUGUUUGUUGUUGGAUUUACGGAGAGACCGAAAAAGUUGAUUGUUCUUUUCUAGUAAAAAUUAUCUCAACUAUAAACUUAUGAAAGAAAGACAGAUUCACGUCAAUUCGUUUAAUCAUCCUAAUCGAAAGAGUAUUAUUUUGCAAUAUCUUUUG